GUGGGUGUAGCUCAGGGUAGAGCCCCGGAUUGUGACUCCGGUGGUCGUGGGUUCAAAUCCCAUCAUCCACCCCA
rnacentral:tRNA from 2 species